rnacentral:tRNA from 1 species
GCCCGAGUGGUGAAAUCGGUAGACACAAGGGAUUUAAAAUCCCUCGGCUUUCGAGCUGUGGCGGUUCAAGUCCGCCCUCGGGCACCAUUU